rnacentral:miRNA from 1 species
UCAUAUUUCUUCUUUCA